AACGAGAACUUUCGUUGUAGCAAUACAGUGGAAGUUCUAGUGGCGAACGGGUGCGUAACACGUGGGCAAUCUGCCUUAAAGUGGGGGAUAGCUCGGCGAAAGCCGGAUUAAUACCGCAUGUGAUUACCGGAGACAUCUUCGGAACAUCAAAGUCGGGGCAACCUGACGCUUUUUGAGGAGCCCGCGGCCUAUCAGCUAGUUGGUGAGGUAACGGCUCACCAAGGCGGUGACGGGUAGCUGGUCUGAGAGGACGACCAGUCACACUGGAACUGAGACACGGUCCAGACACCUACGGGUGGCAGCAGUCGAGAAUUUUUCUCAAUGGGGGAAACCCUGAAGGAGCGACGCCGCGUGGAGGAUGAAGGUCUUCGGGUUGUAAACUCCUGUCAUUUGGGAACAAUGCUUACGUAUUAACUGUACGUGAGUUGAUAGUACCAGAAGAGGAAGAGACGGCUAACUCUGUGCCAGCAGCCGCGGUAAUACAGAGGUCUCAAGCGUUGUUCGGAUUCAUUGGGCGUAAAGGGUGUGUAGGUGGCGCGCUAAGUCGGGUGUGAAAUUUCGGAGCUUAACUCCGAAACUGCAUUCGAUACUGGCGUGCUUGAGGACUGGAGAGGAGACUGGAAUUCAUGGUGUAGCAGUGAAAUGCGUAGAGAUCAUGAGGAAGACCAGUGGCGAAGGCGGGUCUCUGGACAGUUCCUGACACUGAGACACGAAGGCCAGGGGAGCAAACGGGAUUAGAUACCCCGGUAGUCCUGGCAUUAAACGGUGCACGUUUGGUGUGGAAGGAUUCGACCCCUUCUGCGCCGGAGCUAACGCGUUAAAC
rnacentral:rRNA from 1 species